UACGAAGGGGGGCUAGCGUUGCUCGGAAUUACUGGGCGUAAAGCGCACGUAGGCGGCCACCGCAAGUCGACUGUGAAAUCCCCAGGCUUAACCUGGGAACUGCAUUCGAGACUGCAUUGCUAGAGUAUGGGAGAGGGAAGUGGAAUUUCCGGUGUAGCGGUGAAAUGCGUAGAUAUCGGAAGGAACAUCAGUGGCGAAAGCGACUUCCUGGACCAAUACUGACGCUCAUGUGCGAAAGCGUGGGGAGCAAACAGG
rnacentral:rRNA from 1 species